rnacentral:rRNA from 1 species
UGGGGAAUAUUGGACAAUGGGCGAAAGCCUGAUCCAGCCAUGCCGCGUGAGUGACGAAGGCCUUAGGGUUGUAAAACUCUUUCGUCGGGGACGAUAAUGACGGUACCCGAAGAAGAAGCUCCGGCUAACUUCGUGCCAGCAGCCGCGGUAAUACGAAGGGAGCUAGCGUUGUUCGGAAUCACUGGGCGUAAAGCGCACGUAGGCGGAUAGUUAAGUCAGGGGUGAAAUCCCAGAGCUCAACUCUGGAACUGCCCUUGAUACUGGCAAUCUCGAGUCCGGAAGAGGUUAGUGGAAUUCCCAGUGUAGAGGUGAAAUUCGUAGAUAUUGGGAAGAACACCAGUGGCGAAGGCGGCUAACUGGUCCGGUACUGACGCUGAGGUGCGAAAGCGUGGGGAGCAAACAGGAUUAGAUACCCAUGUAGUCCCUGAGCGGGCUGGCAAGGCGCAU